AUGGAAUCAUUCAAAGAGCAAAUGCUUUGCUUUGUUACAUGGAAUAUUUGUGGGCGAAAAAAAAUAAGCCCACUCGUUGACAGUUUGUCAAAGAAUCUAGGGGCAGAAAUAAUAUUUUUGCAAGAGACAAAAAUUGGACCUGGAGAUGAGAGAGAAAAGCUUGAUGGCUGGAAAUGUUUCUUCACUGUCUAUGAUUCCCAUAGCAAAGGAGUGGCCAUUUUAAUAAAAGAUGGUGUAUCAUUUCAGUACAUAUGUCAUGAUGAGGAUUAUGGUGGAGAAUAUCUUGUACUAUUCUGUCGUCUCCAUGGUGAGCUGUUCACUCUUGUUAAUGUAUACAAACACAAAGAUGACAAAGAUGUCUUGAACAUACUGGCAGAUUACUUGAGAGAAACAGCUGAUGGGGUGCUUGUGAUUGGAGGUGAUUUCAACACAGUUCUGGACCUUAGCUUUGAUCGAAACUGCAUAGCAAAAAAGCUAAAGGAUACACCAUCAAAGGACACAUUUGAAAAAUUCACAGUCUCUCUAAAUCUUAUGGAUGCAUGGGCAUACUUUUGCCCAACAGUCAAGAAAUUUACAUAUUCUCAGAAUAAAAGUCAGUCUAGAUUAGACAUGUUUCUUCUUUGUGAAGAGGAUUUAGAGCGAAUAAAUGAUGUACACAUUUAUGAAGCUGAAAGUAUAGUGGCUACACCAAGUAAGAAAAAGUAUACUUCAGAUCAUUCUCCCUUAGUGAUUCAUCUCAAAAUGAAAGAACAAUCUACCAAUGAUGUGCCAAAUGUUGCUUCAUGGUCUGGGGACAUUAGAUUCUGCAAAGAACCAGACAGAAGAGAUGGAAAGAUAAAUGGGCCAGAAAUACUGCGCGUGAUCAAGUCUUUAACUGACUCUGGGAACCAACGACCUGAUACAAUAAGCAUACGAACAUACAAGAAAUACUGUUGUCCAUUAACAGAGGUCUUAAAAAUAUAUUUCAAUUAUUGGAUGAAACACCAGCAGCUACCUCAAAAUUUCAAUUCAUUUUACAGUGCAUCUGAUGGUAGAAAACAUUUCAAUGUGGAUUAUUUGAUUUUCACUACGAUUCUGGCCAAACGCCUCAAUAUACUAAAGACAUCCUCUGAGAAACAGAGCCAAGCAUACAGAACCAAAAGAAAAUGUUACUGUGUGACCUUUUUAAAACCACAGAAAAUUAAAUGGACCUUCUUAACAAGCAGCCUCUCAUACCAUCUCAGAAGUUAUAUAAAGUCCCAACAAAAGUUGAAAAAAGUAAUGAAAAGUACAAAAAAAUCUAAUGAAAAGCCUAAAGAAAAAUCUCCAAAAAUGAAUGUCUCCCUCCUGAAAGGUUUAGUUGAUAGAGAUGCAGAUUCAACAAAGGAAAAAAGUAUUUUAAAGAUUAUUCUCCCUAAAGCCAGCGAUCCUUCAGAUGACUUCAGAGAAUUACAAGACGGCUGUCCACUCACUAGAUCAAUCCUCAGUUUGGUCCUGAAAUAUCUGGAAAUUCAAAUAGGAAGGAAAGGCUACAUAGCUCAUAUCUGCCACUUUAGACAAGCUUUAGUCAUACAUAAAUACUCUAAGAGUGUAUUGAAAGAACUGAAAAAACAAUGUAAGAGGUUCAAGAGAGAUUCUGGGAUUAAACUAAAAAUUUUUGAAAUCAUUUUAAAAUCAAAAGUUUGA
ensembl:lncRNA